rnacentral:rRNA from 1 species
CAAUAGCGUAUAUUAAAGUUGUUGCAGUUAAAAAGCUCGUAGUUGGAUUUGUGGUGGCUCCUGCGGUCCAAAAAUGUUUUGGUGCUGUUGGUGGCUACCAUCUUUGGGUGGAACCUGUGUGGCAUUAGGUUGUCGCGCAGGGGAUGCCCAUCGUUUACUGUGAAAAAAUUAGAGUGUUCAAAGCAGGCUUACGCCGUUGAAUAUAUUAGCAUGGAAUAAUGAGAUAGGACCUUGGUACUAUUUUGUUGGUUUGCGCACCGAGGUAAUGAUUAAUAGGGACAGUUGGGGCUAUUCGUAUUCCAUUGUCAGAGGUGAAAUUCUUGGAUUUCUGGAAGACGAACUACUGCGAAAGCAUUUAGCAAGGAUGUUUUCAUUAA